rnacentral:rRNA from 1 species
GAUCCUGGCUUAGGAUGAACGCUGGCGGCGUGCCUAACACAUGCAAGUCGAACGGGACUAAUUAGAGAUGUUUCGGACUGAUCUUUUAGUUAGUGGCGGACGGGUGAGUAACGCGUGGACAACCUGCCUUCGACAGGGGGAUAGCAGCUGGAAACGGCUGGUAAUACCGCAUACGCUCGUGUCACCGCAUGGUGAUAUGGGGGAAAAGAUUUAUCGGUGAAAGAUGGAUCCGCGUCUGAUUAGCCAGUUGGCGGGGUAACGGCCCACCAAAGCGACGAUCAGUAGCCGGCCUGAGAGGGCGGACGGCCACAUUGGGACUGAGACACGGCCCAGACUCCUACGGGAGGCAGCAGUGGGGGAUAUUGCACAAUGGGCGCAAGCCUGAUGCAGCGACGCCCGCGUGAGUGAAGAAGUAUUUCGGUAUGUAAAGCUCUAUCAGCAGGGAAGAAAGGCCCGCAAGGGAGAUGACGGUACCUGACUAAGAAGCCCCGGCUAACUACGUGCCAGCCGCCGC